rnacentral:rRNA from 1 species
UGGGGAAUAUUGCACAAUGGGCGAAAGCCUGAUGCAGCGACGCCGCGUGAGGGAUGGAGGCCUUCGGGUUGUAAACCUCUUUCGCUCAUGGUCAAGCCGCAGCUUUGGGUUGUGGUGAGGGUAGUGGGUAAAGAAGCGCCGGCUAACUACGUGCCAGCAGCCGCGGUAAUACGUAGGGCGCGAGCGUUGUCCGGAAUUAUUGGGCGUAAAGGGCUUGUAGGCGGUUGGUCGCGUCUGCCGUGAAAUCCUCUGGCUUAACUGGGGGCGUGCGGUGGGUACGGGCUGACUUGAGUGCGGUAGGGGAGACUGGAACUCCUGGUGUAGCGGUGGAAUGCGCAGAUAUCAGGAAGAACACCGGUGGCGAAGGCGGGUCUCUGGGCCGUUACUGACGCUGAGGAGCGAAAGCGUGGGGGGCGAACAGGAUUAGAUACCCUGGUAGUCCACGCUGUAAACGUUGGGCACUAGGUGUGGGGGCCACCCGUGGUUUCUGCGCCGUAGCUAACGCUUUAAGUGCCCCGCCUGGGGAGUACGGCCGCAAGGCUA